UAGCACUUUUUCAUGUCAGGACCCAGCCACAUAUUGUCAGGACAAGCACAUGUAUACUUUGGGGAAUGUGAAGAGAUUUGGGGUGCAGGAAGACAAAGGUAUUCACAGCCUCCAUUUGGCAGAGAACUGAGCUCACAAACGUCGGGAGCUAUAUAAGGAAGAUAAAAUCAUCAUCAAGGAGACUCUUCCUUCCUCUCCUGUGUAUCGUCUAGUUUAUGAAGGAGGCUUUGCAUGGAGUGGGAAUUGCUGAAUCAUCAGGAAAACUUCAGGACAUACUGCCUCGAAUUAAAGACGCUGGUGUCUCAGGAGCUUUGUCUUCAUCUCCAUCACAUUUCCAGUUUAAAUGGAUGCAUUCUCCAUUGUUGCACUGGAACUCAUGCGCUGCACAGGUGCUUGUGGGUGGAGGCUUGACUUUGUAGCCGCACUUCUCAACAGACUCAUCGGAGUUGUCCUCACAGUCGGGAUGGUUGUCACAGACCCAGAGCUCCAGGAUGCACAAGCUGUUGUUGCACUGGAACUCGUUAGGGUUGCAGCGGAGGGGUGGGCACUUCCUCUCAUCACUGCCGUCGCCACAGUCAUCGUCACCAUCACACACGAAGUUUGCAGCUAUGCAGGUCUUGUUGCUGCACUGGAACUCGUUGGAAGAACAGACUUUGGGCGGAAAGUAAAGCAGAUGAGUUUGAAGAGCUCAAGCCUACCUGACAGCAUUUCUCUUCCACAUUUUCAUCCUUUCAUCAAAGGACCAUCUUCCCCUCCCUCCUACAUCUCUUUUUGUUUUUUAUUUACCUGGAAAACACACGUGCUUACUGUGAUUAUUAUUAAUAGUACUGUAAUAGUACUGUAAAAUAGCUUUAUUAUUUGUGAACAUGGCUUUUAUUAUGGUAGACUCCAUUUCUGUUUGUUACUCAAGUAAACUGAGUA